rnacentral:rRNA from 1 species
UGGGGAAUAUUGGACAAUGGGCGCAAGCCUGAUCCAGCAAUGCCGCGUGAGUGAUGAAGGCCUUAGGGUUGUAAAGCUCUUUUACCCGUGAUGAUAAUGACAGUAGCGGGAGAAUAAGCCCCGGCUAACUCCGUGCCAGCAGCCGCGGUAAUACGGAGGGGGCUAGCGUUGUUCGGAAUUACUGGGCGUAAAGCGCACGUAGGCGGCUUUGUAAGUUAGAGGUGAAAGCCUGGAGCUCAACUCUAGAACUGCCUUUAAGACUGCAUCGCUUGAAUCCAGGAGAGGUGAGUGGAAUUCCGAGUGUAGAGGUGAAAUUCGUAGAUAUUGGGAAGAACACCAGUGGCGAAGGCGGCUAACUGGUCCGGUACUGACGCUGAGGUGCGAAAGCGUGGGGAGCAAACAGGAUUAGAUACCCUCGUAGUCCCUGAGCGGGCUGGCAAGGCGCAU